rnacentral:rRNA from 1 species
AACAGGAAGAAGCUUGCUUCUUUGCUGACGAGUGGCGGACGGGUGAGUAAUGUCUGGGAAACUGCCUGAUGGAGGGGGAUAACUACUGGAAACGGUAGCUAAUACCGCAUAACGUCGCAAGACCAAAAAGGGGGACCUUCGGGCCUCUUGCCAUCGGAUGUGCCCAGAUGGGAUUAGCUAGUAGGUGGGGUAACGGCUCACCUAGGCGACGAUCCCUAGCUGGUCUGAGAGGAUGACCAGCCACACUGGAACUGAGACACGGUCCAGACUCCUACGGGAGGCAGCAGUGGGGAAUAUUGCACAAUGGGCGCAAGCCUGAUGCAGCCAUGCCGCGUGUAUGAAGAAGGCCUUCGGGUUGUAAAGUACUUUCAGCGGGGAGGAAGGGAGUAAAGUUAAUACCUUUGCUCAUUGACGUUACCCGCAGAAGAAGCACCGGCUAACUCCGUGCCAGCAGCCGCGGUAAUACGGAGGGUGCAAGCGUUAAUCGGAAUUACUGGGCGUAAAGCGCACGCAGGCGGUUUGUUAAGUCAGAUGUGAAAUCCCCGGGCUCAACCUGGGAACUGCAUCUGAUACUGGCAAGCUUGAGUCUCGUAGAGGGGGGUAGAAUUCCAGGUGUAGCGGUGAAAUGCGUAGAGAUCUGGAGGAAUACCGGUGGCGAAGGCGGCCCCCUGGACGAAGACUGACGCUCAGGUGCGAAAGCGUGGGGAGCAAACAGG